GACAUUAGAGCACAAAGUAAAGCGUUGCUGCAUUCCUGCAUUAAUUCGACUCGCUUUAAAUAGUAAAGUUUUCUCAUUUCAUAAUUCUUCUUAUUCACGUUCGAUCGUUAUCGCUAUGCUGAAGGAAAUAAUUGGGUUUAGUUUAUCGAUUUUUUCACUUUUCGUAACCGAAACGCCGAGAGUGUCUUUACCUGCCCAACAUGAGCAAGAGGACGCGAGUACUGAUGGAAAUAUACAUUUUAGACUAAUGGAAAAUGAUUCCAGAAGUAGAUAUAUAAACAAAGAAUAUGACCUGUCAGAUUUGAACGACGAAAGUGAAAUCUUCAUGGCUGAUGGAAGUCAACUUGAAACAUACUGCAGUAACAUGCAACAUUCGAGAAACUUUAAAUCAUCUUUGUGGAAAAGUUUAUCAACAAGUAUCAAUCUCACGUUUGCUACCAUGUUGCCAACUCUUUUUGCUUUGACAUUGGUGUAUGUUGACACGAAUACCACCUACAGCUGUUUGGCAAGGCGAAAUCACAAAAACAAGACAUUAUCAUUAUCUGUGAAACGUAUUCACGUCUUUGGUGAUUGCGUGCAGUCUUUUGUGUUAUAUUUAUGGUUUCCAUUGUCAAUGAUGAUGUUAUUUGGAUGGAAAGAAUUUAAAGAAAAGUUCACAUCUGCGCUUUAUGUUUGUGUCAUAUUCGGAGAGUUGGUCGUUAUUUACCACUUGAUUUCAUUUCAGUUUAAUGUUUACGAUGCACAUAGCUACUACAGAAUCCCUCCAAGUAUUUUAUUUUGUGUCUGUUUAUUUUGUUCCGGCUUUGUGAUCCUUUACAAUGUUCGUGCUUGUGAUCGCCACGUCACUUACUCUAAUUGUCAUAUUUCAGCGCUUCUUCUAAUGGAAAAUGUAUUUUGUGCUUUUAUUUCUUACGCUAACCAGUACGAACUUAUUCCUGCGUUUAAUGGCUUUCGAAAAAAGCUUUAUAAAUUUCUAGCAACAUCAAUCAAAUAAGUGUUACGUGUAAAUGACUUUGAAUGAGCUUUAAUAUGUUAACCCCCCCUUUUUUUCCAGCUCUCGCCGCCACAACAUCAUAUUCCCGUGACGUAUAUUAAACUGCAAAUUUCGGUUGUCAGAUUUUUGUUUAUUUUUGUUCUCUUUCCUUUUUAGAGUAAUAUUCCUUGUUGGAUAAACAUGGUUGGUACUUCAUGUGGACAUAGUUCUAUAAAAGUGUUCAGUAAACUGUAAAGUUUGGAAUCUUUGUCGUGAUAUGUCUUAAGGUGCUGUUUAUUAAUCGUCCUUUUUUAUACGUGGAAUAUAAGAAAAAACUUUAUUCGAUCGUCGUUUCAAUGCUAGAGGAGAUAGUUACAUUUAUUUUAUCUGUGUUUUCACUCUUCAAAACACCUCAAGUGUCUUCUGAUGAGGAAACCGAAAAUCUAGAAAUCACUGAUGUUGACUUUGAGUCUGAUAAUGCUCAAAAUUGGUACAUAAACAAAGAAUAUGAGUACCUCGGUGUUGAAGACAACUAUAGUGAAACAAGUGUUCUAUUGUCCAGUUUAAGAUCUCAAAAUGCAACCGUCGUCGAUAACAUGCAAAUGACUCGCAGAAAAUUCUGUGAUUCGUUUCGGAAUAGUAUAUUGACAACAUUAAAUAUCACUUUGGCGAGCAUCGUACAGGCAUCUGUUGCCAUUGUAUUUCGCUAGGUUAACAUGAAUUCAACCGAAGUUUGUCAAGAAUGGCAGAAUCACAACAACAACAAAGCCAUGGUAUUUCUUUACGUCAACAUGAAUACAACCUACAUUUGUUGGGAAUGGCAGAAACGCGGCAACAACAACAACACGCUACCAUCAUCUGUAAAGCGCGUCCGCGUUUUGGGAGAUGACGUGGAAUCAUUUGAAAUUUAUAUGUGGGUCCCACUCACUUUGAUGAUACUACUUGGUUUAAAGGAGUUCACGACAAAGUUUUUCUCCAUUGUUUAUAUAUAUCUUAUAUCUGGAGAAUUACUUGUUAUAUAUACUGAUUUGUUUUCAAUUCAAUGUUAAAGAUGGUCCAAAACAUUACUAGAGAAUCCCCAUAUACAUCUUGUACUUUGCUUCGUUGUUUUAUUCGUGUUCAGUGUUGCUUAGAACUUUAGAACCAGUUGCAUGCACGUUUGUUUGGAUGGUCUAAAUAAACACAUUCGUUAUUCACACUGAAUAUUUUCUCUGGACAAGCAUCAUGAAAAGAAACGCCAGACACUUUUUGACUGAAGCACUUCGUGGUAACACCCACUGCUUUGUCAGUCGAAACUCGCUUGCGUUUUUCUACCCAGAAGAAUUUGGCCAAAUUUAGGCAGCAUGUCAACAUCCAUCACACUUGCAUUUUACCAAUAUGCUCCAAUUUUGAAUUUCAUGAACUCAUGUUAAAUUGAAUGUGAUAUUUUAUUCAAAUGA